rnacentral:rRNA from 1 species
UACGUAGGGUGCGAGCGUUAAUCGGAAUUACUGGGCGUAAAGCGUGCGCAGGCGGUUUCACAAGCUCGAUGUGAAAGCCCGGGCUUAACCCUGGGAAUGGCAUUGAGGACUGUGGAGCUCGAGUGCGGCAGAGGGAGGUGGAAUCCACGUGUAGCAGUGAAAUGCGUAGAGAUGUGGAGGAACACCGAUGGCGAAGGCAGCCUCCUGGGCCGACACUGACGCUCAUGCACGAAAGCGUGGGGAGCAAACAGGA